UGAUGGCUAGUCCUCUUAACACACAAUGCUAAUACGUGUAUUCUGAAAUAAUGCCUCUGAACCAAUAGGUAAACUCACUAAUACAGAGCACCCAAAAGCCCAAAUAUGUUAAAACUAUACUGACCAGUUUGACAUAGUUAAAUCUUUAUUUCUUCAGGCUUUUAAUUCUACCAGUUUUUGUAUUCCAGAAAUGUGCAGGCCCCUAAGGUUCAGGCACCUCCCAUCUAUAUAGCCACCUAGGCUAAAGUAAAGUACAAUGCAAUGGUUUUGUGACAUAACAGGCACACUACUUCAAACAAAAUUGUUUUUUGAACAAACCCAAUGCCACCAUGGGCACUUGGGUGUUUGGGUGCAUGCCUUCAACAGACUGGAACAUACAGGAAGCAGAAUUGUUCAUUCCUUGUCGCAUCAUCCUUCCAAGUCAUAUUUAUUAACAGCCUCUUUGGGACAAGUAUGGCUUUGGUCAGCAGAGACGGAAGAAACAGAAUAAAACUAACAUUGUUAGUCAUCUUAUUUACAUUUUAAGAAAAAACACAGAUCAUAGAUUGCAUAUCUGGGCUGUUCUGGUCGAACACCUUUCUCUCGUCUGGUGAUGAAGCGCUUGUCAAACUCGAUGCCCGGAUAAGGACUCUGCCCCAGGCUGAAGAUUUCCCAGAGGAUGACACCAUAUGACCAAAAAUGUCACGCUGGGUGGAGAAGAUGCUGUCCUGGAAGCACUCGGCAGCCAGCCACUUCCACAGUAGUGGUGUCUGUGAUGAAAGACAGGUUAAUGGGCUGAAUAUUUUUCUGGUGAGAUAUGCUGACCUGUGUGUAUGUAUCUCAUCAAAAUGUUUCACUGCUACCUGCAGCUUUCUUUGUUUAUGAAUUCUUAAUACACUUUAUUGCUGUGUGUAAAAACACUGAACAAAAAAUGUUAAUCACUAAAAUAUAUUCUGAAUUGUUUAUAAACACAUUAAAAUGUUCUGAAUUGUUUAUAAAACAUGGAUUAAUAUUCCGAGUUAUAUUAGGAGUGAUUGUUUGUUGCAGAUUUCCAUUCUUAAAGGGGAAGUUGGUGGUCUCGGUUAAAACAAGCAUUCAGUAACAUGUUUCCAUAGGUAAAUUUUCUUUGUAUAAAGACUUCCUAAAAUCUUCAUGUUUUACCUGAGUAAUGUGUUUGUUCAUAAAUUAUUUCAUUCUUUGUAAUUUGUACUUAAUUUGCCAAUAAUUGCAAGUGCAGAUAAAGUAAUAAAGGCAACAGUGGAAACCUAACCUUAAGUUUUCACUAUAAGAUGGUUUGUUUACAAAAUUUCAUAUACAUUAUGUAUAAAAACUUGCCUUCAUAGAGAAAGUACCUUUGGUUUUAACCUAUUUCCAUUUACAUGAAUGAUUUUCAUUCCUGAGAAAUAAAUCAAGAUUGAAAAAAUAGUUUUACUUAAACCUUAGCCUGGGUAAAAAAUAUGCAGCACCCCAGGCUUGGGAAACUUUGAGGUCAGCCAAUUUAAGAAAGAACACACUAAUGGAAAGAUGAUGAUAGGUAAAUGCACAUGGUGUAAGAAAAGGAGUUCUAAAAAAUUUUCCCUACCUUCCACGAGAAGUUGAAAAUGACUAUUUACAACCCAUUGUGGAGCCUCUUUUAAUAAGACAAUCAUAAAUUUUACCAAGUUAUAUAUGAUUUUUCUAAUAUUUUUUAAAAUUAUAAUUAC